rnacentral:rRNA from 1 species
AGAGUUUGAUCCUGGCUCAGAAUGAACGCUGGCGGCGUGCGUAACACAUGCAAGUCGAACGAGAAAUUCCGGGCUUGCUCGGGAGAGUAAAGUGGCGAACGGGUGAGUAACGCGUGGGUAACCUGCCCCUGAAUCUGGAAUAACUUCGCGAAAGCGAGGCUAAUACCGGAUAUUGUCCCAGGGACCUCGGUUCUUGUGAUGAAAGAUGACCUCUUCACGAAAGUUGUCGUUCAGGGAGGGGCCCGCGUACCAUUAGCUAGUUGGUAGGGUAAUGGCCUACCAAGGCGAUGAUGGUUAGCUGGUCUGAGAGGAUGACCAGCCACACUGGCACUGAAACACGGGCCAGACUCCUACGGGAGGCAGCAGUGAGGAAUUUUGCGCAAUAGGGGAAACCCUGACGCAGCAACGCCGCGUGAGUGAAGAAGGCCCUCGGGUCGUAAAGCUCUGUCAAGUGGGAAAAAAGCUUACUGGUAAAUAGCCAGCAAGACUGAUGGUACCAUUGAAGGAAGCACCGGCUAACUCCGCGCCAGCAGCCGCGGUAAUACGGAGGGUGCAAGCGCUGUUCGGAAUUACUGGGCGUAAAGGGCGUGUAGGCGGUGUGGUAAGUCAGAUGUGAAAGCCCUGGGCUUAACCCAGGAAGUGCAUUUGAAACUGCCAUGCUUGAGUAUGGGAGAGGAGAGUGGAAUUCCCAGUGUAGAGGUGAAAUUCGUAGAUAUUGGGAGGAACACCCGUGGCGAAGGCGACUCUCUGGACCAAUACUGACGCUGAGGCGCGAAAGCGUGGGGGAGCAAACAGGAUUA